CCUACGGGAGGCAGCAGUGAGGAAUAUUGGUCAAUGGACGCAAGUCUGAACCAGCCAUGCCGCGUGCAGGAAGACGGCUCUAUGAGUUGUAAACUGCUUUUGUACGAGGGUAAACGCAGAUACGCGUAUCUGUCUGAAAGUAUCGUACGAAUAAGGAUCGGCUAACUCCGUGCCAGCAGCCGCGGUAAUACGGAGGAUUCAAGCGUUAUCCGCAUUUAUUGGGUUUAAAGGGUGCGUAGGCGAUCGGAUAAGUUAGAGGUGAAAUCCCGAGGCUCAACUUCGGAAUUGCCUCUGAUACUGGUAGGCUAGAGAGUAGUUGCGGUAGGCGGAAUGUAUGGUGUAGCGGUGAAAUGCUUAGAGAUCAUACAGAACACCGAUUGCGAAGGCAGCUUACCAAGCUACUUCUGACGUUGAGGCACGAAAGCGUGGGGAGCAAACAGGAUUAGAUACCCUUGUAGUC
rnacentral:rRNA from 1 species